AACGAACGCUAGCGGCAUGCCUCAAACAUGCAAGUCGUACGCGAAAGUACCUUCGGGUACGAGUAGAGUGGCGCACGGGUGCGUAACACGUAGCUAACGUACCUCUUCGCUGGGGAUAACUCCGGGAAACCGGAGCUAAUACCGAAUGAUCUGAACAGAACUACGGUUUUGUUCGGUAAAGCCGUAAGGCGCGAAGAGAUCGGGCUGCGGCCCAUUAGCUUGAUGGUGGGGUAACGGCCUACCAUGGCUACGAUGGGUAGCUGGUCUGAGAGGAUGAUCAGCCACACUGGAACUGAAACACGGUCCAGACUCCCACGGGAGGCAGCAGUUGGGAAUAUUGGACAAUGGGGGAAACCCUGAUCCAGCAAUGCCGCGUGAGUGAUGAAGGCUUUCGGGUCGUAAAGCUCUUUCAGCAGGGAAGAAUAACUGACUGUACCUGAAGAAGAAGCACCGGCU
rnacentral:rRNA from 1 species